GCAAGCUUUUGCGCCAUAAUGGUU
rnacentral:snRNA from 1 species